rnacentral:lncRNA from 1 species
UGUCAGUGGUACUUUCUUCAUUUUUCUUAGGUGGGAGCUUAGAGCAGUAACCACCAGCUGGACAAUUCAUCUAUUUUUAUAGACCUCAAAUGAUGCCACAACUCUGAAGAAUUCUCCAAGAAUCACCUUGAAUUCUAGCAUUGAGGCUGUCUUACUCACCUGCACAGUAGAGACAUUGGCAGUCCUGGACUCCAAUCUUGGGAGAAGUCAUCGGUCAAGGCAAUCUCUCUUGGUGCUGAUCUAUGCUGGCUAGAGGAGAAAUGGAUAGCAUCCUCUGAUGCUAACUGCCUUCGAACCAUCUGGCUUCUUAAUUCUACCUACACUUGGACCUCUGUUGCACUCCCUGAGCAGCAUGUGAAGGACCAAAUCUACAGGCACUGA